CGGAGGGUGCGAGCGUUAAUCGGAAUUACUGGGCGUAAAGCGCGCGUAGGCGGUUUGUUAAGUCAGCUGUGAAAGCCCUGGGCUCAACCUGGGAAUGGCAGUUGAUACUGGCGAGCUUGAGUGUGGUAGAGGGGUGUGGAAUUUCCGGUGUAGCAGUGAAAUGCGUAGAGAUCGGAAGGAACACCAGUGGCGAAGGCGGCACCCUGGACCAACACUGACGCUGAGGUGCGAAAGCGUGGGGAGCAAACAGGA
rnacentral:rRNA from 1 species